UGACUGAUGUAGCGGGGGGAUUCGACUAAUUCAGUUGAUGAUCUGACUCAUUCAGAAGAUGAUCCGAUUCCCCGAAGUUAGUGAUCUGACUCGCUAAGUCGGUGAUCCUAUUCCUUAAGAUGGGUGAUUUGACCUGUUAUGCGUGCCAUUGUUCCGUACAAUUGUUCUACAACUUCGAGAUUUGGUUCGUUUUUAUGCCCUCCAACUUUCAGCGUUCAGCGAUGGCUUCCUGAUCAAGCCAAAGGACUCCUCAUCUUUUUGAGAAUCGAGAUACUCAUCUAUUAGUCCAAAUCACUUGGGUUGCUAGAUGUGUAUAAGGCGAGGAAAGACAGAUCAUGUUGGUGAAUCCACAGGCGAUAUUUGGACAUCUUGGUAAAGGGUCAAGGUGUCGAGGCACUCAAAGACAUAUAGUUUUGAACUGAGAUUGAGCUUUACAAGAGAGUGAGCUAUACAACACUUGAGCUUGAGCUUGAGACUGA
rnacentral:lncRNA from 1 species